GAUGAACGCUAGCGGCAGGCCUAACACAUGCAAGUCGAGGGGUAACUAGAGUGAUAGCAAUAUUACUUUGGCUAGACCGGCGCACGGGUGCGUAACACGUAUGCAACCUACCUUAUACUGGGGAAUAACUUCGAGAAAUCGGCGCUAAUACCCCAUAACAUUGCGAAGAGGCAUCUCUUUGCAAUUAAAGCUCCGGCGGUAUAAGAUGGGCAUGCGUCCAAUUAGCUAGUUGGUGAGGUAACGGCUCACCAAGGCUACGAUUGGUAGGGGUUCUGAGAGUAUGAGCCCCCACACUGGUACUGAGACACUGACCAGACUCCUACGGGAGGCAGCAGUGAGGAAUAUUGCGCAAUGGACGAAAGUCUGACGCAGCCAUGCCGCGUGCAGGAUGACGGCCCUAUGGGUUGUAAACUGCUUUUGUGCGGGAAUAAACCCUUCUACGUGUAGGAGGCUGAAGGUACCGUAAGAAUAAGCACCGGCUAACUCCGUGCCAGCCGCCGCCGUAA
rnacentral:rRNA from 1 species